AUCCCCUGGCAAUGGGCAAAGAGACUCCUGAUUGGUGGUGUUGCUCUUAUAUCAGUGAGGGGUGAAGCAGAUGUACAGACCCUAAUUCAUCCUAGCCUAGGUUGGUGGCCAGAGCUGUUUCAUGCCUGGAGCACAUAA